AGUGGGAUAGCUAGGCCAAAUGGUCAUUCUAUUCCUAGUUUUUUUGAGGAAUCUCCAUACUACUUUUCAGAGAGGUUGUAUCAGUUUGCAGUCCCACCAGCAAU
rnacentral:pre_miRNA from 1 species